rnacentral:rRNA from 1 species
UACGUAGGGACCAAGCGUUGUUCGGAUUUACUGGGCGUAAAGGGCGCGUAGGCGGCUUGACAAGUCACUUGUGAAAUCUCCGGGCUUAACUCGGAACGGCCAAGUGAAACUGUCAUGCUAGAGUGCAGAAGGGGCAAUCGGAAUUCUUGGUGUAGCGGUGAAAUGCGUAGAUAUCGUAAGGAAGACCAGUGGCGAAGGCGGGUCUCUGGACAGUUCCUGACGCUGAGGCACGAAGGUCAGGGGAGCAAACGGG